rnacentral:rRNA from 1 species
UGGGAAUCUGCCCUUAGGUCCGGAAUAACUCAGGGAAACUUGAGCUAAUACCGGAUGAUGACUUCGGACCAAAGAUUUAUUGCCUAAGGAUGAGCCCGCGUAAGAUUAGCUUGUUGGUGAGGUAAAGGCUCACCAAGGCGACGAUCUUUAGCUGGUCUGAGAGGAUGAUCAGCCACACUGGGACUGAGACACGGCCCAGACUCCUACGGGAGGCAG